CCUACGGGAGGCAGCAGUGGGGAAUUUUGGACAAUGGACGCAAGUCUGAUCCAGCCAUUCCGCGUGCAGGACGAAGGCCUUCGGGUUGUAAACUGCUUUUGUACAGAACGAAAAGGUUUCUCUUAAUACGAGGGGCUCAUGACGGUACUGUAAGAAUAAGCACCGGCUAACUACGUGCCAGCAGCCGCGGUAAUACGUAGGGUGCAAGCGUUAAUCGGAAUUACUGGGCGUAAAGCGUGCGCAGGCGGUUAUAUAAGACAGAUGUGAAAUCCCCGGGCUCAACCUGGGAACUGCAUUUGUGACUGUAUAGCUGGAGUACGGUAGAGGGGGAUGGAAUUCCGCGUGUAGCAGUGAAAUGCGUAGAUAUGCGGAGGAACACCGAUGGCGAAGGCAAUCCCCUGGACCUGUACUGACGCUCAUGCACGAAAGCGUGGGGAGCAAACAGGAUUAGAUACCCUGGUAGUCCACGCCCUAAACGAUGUCAACUGGUUGUUGGGUCUUCACUGACUCAGUAACGAAGCUAACGCGUGAAGUUGACCGCCUGGGGAGUAACGGCCGCAAGGUUGAAACUUCAAAGGAAUUGACGG
rnacentral:rRNA from 1 species